UACAGAGGUCCCCAAGCGUUGUUCGGAUUCACUGGGCGUAAAGGGUGCGUAGGUGGCCAGGUAAGUUCGGUGUGAAAGCUCGGAGCUUAACUCCGAAAUGGCAUUGAAUACUAUCUGGCUAGAGGUUCGGAGGGGAGCCUGGAAUUCCGAGUGUAGAGGUGAAAUUCGUUAGAUAUUCGGAGGAACACCAGUGGCGAAGCGGCUCACUGGUCCGGUACUGACGCUGAGGUGCGAAAGCGUGGGGAGCGAACAGG
rnacentral:rRNA from 1 species